GCAAGUCGAGGGGUAACAGAGGGUGCUUGCACCUUGCUGACGACCGGCGCACGGGUGCGUAACGCGUAUGCAACCUACCUUUUACAGGAGGAUAGUCAAUAGAAAUGUUGAAUAAUACUCCAUACGACCUUUGAGUGGCAUUACUUAGAGAAGAAAGCUUUUGCGGUAAAAGAUGGGCAUGCGUCCUAUUAGUUAGUUGGUGAGGUAACGGCUCACCAAGACAUCGAUCGGUAGGGGCCCUGAGAGGAGGAUC
rnacentral:rRNA from 1 species